GAUGAACGCUGGCGGCGUGCCUAAUACAUGCAAGUCGAGCGAACAAAUAAGGAGCUUGCUCCUUUGACGUUAGCGGCGGACGGGUGAGUAACACGUGGGUAACCUACCUAUAAGACUGGGAUAACUUCGGGAAACCGGAGCUAAUACCGGAUAACAUUUGGAACCGCAUGGUUCUAAAGUGAAGGAUGGUUUUGCUAUCACUUAUAGAUGGACCCGCGCCGUAUUAGCUAGUUGGUAAGGUAACGGCUUACCAAGGCGACGAUACGUAGCCGACCUGAGAGGGUGAUCGGCCACACUGGAACUGAGACACGGUCCAGACUCCUACGGGAGGCAGCAGUAGGGAAUCUUCCGCAAUGGGCGAAAGCCUGACGGAGCAACGCCGCGUGAGUGAUGAAGGGUUUCGGCUCGUAAAACUCUGUUAUUAGGGAAGAACAAAUGUGUAAGUAACUGUGCACGUCUUGACGGUACCUAAUCAGAAAGCCACGGCUAACUACGUG
rnacentral:rRNA from 1 species